CCCACUAGAACAUGUUUACAUUGUCGGUCCGAACAUAGUAUUAGGAAAAUACCUUUGUUUGGUUUUUUGUCACAAUUUUUUAAGGUAUUUUAGCUUGGAGACCUACGCUACGCUAUAUUGUAUUGCAAUCUACUCAAAAAGCGAACUUGCGAAGCACCAGUGUUUUAGUAAGGAAAGUUAAUGAAUGAGACGAGCAAACAAAAAGGCGUGCCAAUGGAAUAGUUUCAACUACUCAUUUUAUUCGAACUCAUAUCGCCACUUGCCAAUCAAUGAACUACAAAAGCCCAAACUCAUUGUCCGGAUUGCGACGGCGGCGCAGAAUCGGGUCUUCAAUACAGCCAACAACAAAAACGAUUCAAACAAAAAAUUGUUAUGAACGGCCCGAGUGCAUUGAGUCGUAGCCGUGUGGAAAUGAAAGCGAUGAAACGGAGCGCAACAGGAUAGCGCAACAAUGACAACUACUGGCCGACUGGCGGCCGGCCGUCUACAACCGGAUGUUUACAUAAUACUCGUACAAGUGGAGAUCGCCAUCAAGGAAAUCAGCAAACGAUAUAUACGAAUGGGGGUGCUGUUUGUGAAUACGGUGGGUGCGUCCAAUCACUCAAGCGCCGACGAUGCCGUCACUCAGUCAACCGUGGGCUCUUCCUUGAGCUGGUUUCGUCGCAAAAGGACUCACGGCGAAACACAACACUGCAUUGCAGUAAUCGAUAGGCUGCGUCCCACGACCAUUCAAAGUAUUUAUGUGUAUGCAAGCGUGUAAGUAAAUAUGUAUUUCAUCCUUAAUUUACUCUACUUGUAUAUACAUAUGUAUAUUGUAUACCAGAUACAUUUACGUUUCAAUUGUGUUGUUGGUAUUGUGUACGCUGAACGCUGAACGCUUUUCCUCAAUCGCUUUCUCAUUUUUCUUUGCUAUCAUACUUUUUGUGCACAUACCGUUAUUAUGUCUCAGUUGUCGCUUUUCGCUCCAUUGUUAUAAUUUCGGUUUGUUUUCAUACUUGUCAUUAUUUAUUUACAUGACAGUUCUUUUGUUGUUAAAUUAAUUGAUUUGGAAUUGUGACCCUCUUAAUGGCUGAUGGACGGCGCGCAAUUACGUGAUGGGCCGUGCUAUUGAUCACGGGUGCACGGGGGCCGAAUGGAUAUUGAAUUCAUAAAAUGUUUAUGAAGUUUUUUGUGUCGAAAAUUAAUGUUUUCACACUAAAAUUAGGAGCACACAGACACAUACAAACCCACAUAGUUCUAUUUAAUAAUAGCUUAAGCCUCCCGGGAGUUUUGAUUCGAAUAGUAAUUAUAGUUUCAGUUAGCAACGCUUGCUCCUAAUUUUAAGGUCUAGGGGCACCCGUUCCGGCUGCUAAAUGCCCACCUAAUCGGAAACCGUCAUUUCAUUAAAUAUUGAAUUUCCCAUUCAAAAAAUAACAAAAGAAUAAUUUAGAAAACAUUCCAUCAUUAAUUCUUUAGUGACUAAUCAAAGUCAAAAUAUAUCACAGCUUUUAAUCGAUCUAUCGAUUAUGUACCUACUGCGAGCCAGGCGACGAACACAGCUUCCCACGAACUAGUCUAACAACGGUGGCAUUGUAGGGUCCCGAAUGUGUUAUCAAAACUGGUUAGUUUGCCUCUCUCUCUCUUAAGAACAAUAAUAUAUUGUAUUAUAACGAUGAGAUUAUCAUCCAAUUACAUACCACUAUUAAUUUUCUUGACUGACAGAAAUAAAAAACAUAUUUUAUUUGGUUUAGAGAAAGAACCUUUUCUUAAAAAUUUAAAGUUUACGAACUCUGUGGUUUCAUUUACUUAUUCAACGGUUUUCGUGGGGCAGAAAAGCCUAAGUCAGCUCAAGGAAGUCCGAUAAUAGGCAAUAUUUAAGUAUUCUUCAUUACCGCCCUAAGGUAUAAUCCAAUUGUUUGAGCAAAUAAGCGGUUUUUAUAUUUUCAAACUGUCAAUUUCGGCCGAAACUAUUUCUUCAUACGAUCUUAUGAAUGUCUCAGAUAUAACGAGUGAUUCAAGUAGAAGUACUAUAGCCUUUUCUGGAUAGAUCUUGGUUGGGUGUGGUUUGUGGGCCAGUGGAAUCAUCGGUCCAAAUUUCUUCAAAAAUGAUGCCGGUACGACCGUUAUCGCGCCGCGAUACCCGAACAUUUUAUGCCUUAGCUUAAGCUCGUGAUCUCGGCGACAUUUAACAUUUUUUUUUUGAUGAGCACAUACUUUCACAUUUUGGGCUGAUCGAUUGGCUACCAAGAUCAUGUGAUAUCACAACGUUCGACUUUUUCCUGUGAGGAUGAGUGAAGUCUAAAGUCUUAGCGGGAAAUCCCGCUUCGAUUCAGGUCUUGGAGCAAAACAUCACACGGUUCCUUCGCCAGACUCAACGGAUGGACCAUCCGAGACGUAGCCGCGGCCAACAUUUAAAAAGAGAUAAUCUUAAAAAAC